AACUUCCAUAUGCCACAGGUGUGACCCCCCAAAAAAAGAAAAAGAAUCUGGGUCCUCUUUUUCCCAGUUCCCAUGAUAACUUUAACGUGGUAGUCAUUCACUGAAGUAAUAGAGGCAUUAGACAAUUAAGGAAGGAAAUUUGCUUUAUAACCAGUGGCAUGACCCACAGAUACCAUUUCUCCCUGCUACUGUGGAGGGCCCAGACUAGCAGCAUCAGCACCACCAGGGAAACUUGCUAGAGAUGCACCUAGCACCCAGGAUUAUCCUCAACUAACUUAGGCUCUCUGGACUGUCUCCCAUGUCCCAUCACAGCUUGUCUAUGGAGCAUGGGUUCAGUUGCAGAGAAAUUAGUAUGAUUUUAUGAAUGAUAGUACAAAUUUCUCUUUUUAGUCAUCAGUUAUAUUGAUCUUCCCAGCCAUUGUUUCUCUGAAAAUUGUCUUCAAAGAAGAACAUCAGCCAAGUGCCCUUCUGGCCAUCAUAAGGUCAAAUCUGCUUCCUCUAGUCAUGAGAGCCUUUCAAUCAAACUUUCUCUUGGAGGAGGCAAGGUCCGUGUUACUGAGAAUCCAUAACUAGGAUUGCCAGAUUUAGUAAAUAAAAACUCAGGACCCAAUUGAAUUUGAACUUCAGGUAAACAAUGAAUAAUUUUUUAGUAGAGCUAUAUCCCACAUGUGGCUAUUCAAAUUUAAAUUCAUUAAAAUUCAAUAAAAUGGUCAAUGUAAUUCCCCACUUGCACCAGCCAUAUUGUCAAAUGCUACAUGUGGCUAGAGGCUACUGUAUCGGACAGUGCAGAUUAGUGUGGAUUAGAGAGAAUUUCCAUCAUCAGAGAAAGUUCUGUUGGACAGGGCUGGCUUAGAGCAAACCAGGAAGACGUUCCCGGAGCCAGGUCCCCAGGCAGAUGGUCUAGGCUAGCAGGCUCUUGACAUGCCAUCUCUUCCUCCUUCAUGUAUAAAAAUACAGGGGAUCCGCAGAGGUCAUAGGAAAUGGGCUUGCUUAACCCCGUGUCUAUUAGCCAGGCUGAUAACACAGGAUCUGGGCACAACCAGUUGUCAAAUUCUGUCUAGCUGCUCCUGAAUGAAACAAAUCCUUUAUAUUUGUGUAGGCCUUUGCAGGAAACAGAGCAUUUCCAAGUCCACAUAGGAUUUUAUUCUCACAUUAACUCGGGGUGGUAGGCAGUCACCUAAGAGAAAUGAGAACAUAAAAGGGAAACCAGUGAUGGAAGGAAUCUCCUCACUCUGUAGUGUGGGUCCUCAUACUUGAGCCUGCAUCAGAAUCUCCUGGAGGCUUUGUUCAAGCGCAAAUUACUGAGCCCUGGCAAAGUAGAUCUGGGCUGGGGCCCAAGAAUUUGUGUUUCUCACAAAUGUCCAGGUCAAAAAUGCCGGAUUUGGAGUUCCCUUCGUGGCUCAGUGGUUAACAAACCCAACUAGGACCCAUGAGGAUGUGAGUUCAACCCCUGGCCUUGCUCAGUGGGUUAAGGAUCCUGUGUUGCCGUGAGCUAUGGUGUAGGUGGUAGACAUGGCUAGGAUCUGGUGUUGCUGUGGCUGUGGCAUAGGCCGGCGGCUACAGCUCUGAUUCAACCCUUAGCCUGGGAGCGCAGCCCUAAAAAGAAAAAAAAAAAUGCCAGACCAGGGACCAUACUUUGAAAGCCACUCCUAUUGUGUCAUGGCCCUCCCCCAGCCUAAUGAUACAGGGAGUUUGGGUCUUUCGUUGCUCUGACCCUGUGGACUGUUAACUCCAUUAGGGCUGCUGUGACAAACUACAUCUGUUCACUCAUUGGGAUCAUUAUCACAUUUAUCCUUUGUGCAGCUUUUAUCCAUCAGCUGGUUUUAAUAAAUUGAUGGUAAGUUGAAGUGAAAGCCAUGUCUUUGCAUUUGACUCUGGUGUGUCCAGACUGUGGUCUGGCCAAGCGCAUUGGGUAGGUGUUUUAAACACACACACACACACACACACACACACACACACACACACACUCUGAACUUCAGAAAACAGAAAAAGGAAAUCAUUCACUCAGGGUCACAGAGUUAGUGAGAGGUAGAACCAGGAUAUAAAUCCACCAAGAUUUCCAACUUCAGUUUUGGUACUAAGAAUGCCCAGGGAUUUGGGAAAGUGUUCUGAUAUUCAUGGUUUUUAAAAAUUGGGGUUCAUAGAUGCAGAUUAUUGCCUUUGGAAUGGAUUAGCAAUGAGAUCCUGCUGUGUAGCACUGGGAACUAUGUCUAGUCACUUAUGAUGGAGCAGGAUAAUGUGAGAAAAAAGAAUCUACAGAUGUGUGUGUAGAUGGAUCACCAUACUGUACAGUAGAAAAUUGACAGAACACUGUAAACCAGCUAUAAUGGAAAAAAAUAAAACUCAUUAUAUAAAAAAAAGGUAGUGGAGUCUGUUCUAAUUUCAAAUGUAGAGGCUUCCAAACAUGGCCUGGAUGUUGGGACAGUGAGUGGAGAUAAGCUGAGCCUUUUCAUGCCUCAGCCAGAUGACUCUUUCAUCUGCUACACUGGUAGUUUUCACCAUUUUACAGCUUUCAAUUAUUUUUGUUCAAUUGUUUGACACAAUAGAUUAUGGGUUAAAGAGAGGAGGCCUCAAGAAUACUAAUUUAGGGAGUUAAUGGGAUGGAUAGGGAGUUUGGGGUUGGUAGUUGCAAACUACUACAUUUCCAAUGAGGAUAAGCAGUGAGGUCCUACUGUAUGGCACAGGGAACUAUAGCCAAUCUCCUGGGAUAGAACGUGAUGGAAUAUGAGAAAAAGAAUGUAUGUGUAUGUAUGACUGGGUCACUAUGCUGCUGUACAGCAGCAAUUGGCACAGCACUGUAAGUCAACUAUAACAACAAAAAAGAAUACUGAUUUAGUGCACAGAGUGAGCUACUGAACUGUACACUUAAAAAUGGUUAAAAAAUAGAAUGAAUGAGCUAGUGAAGGACAUAAACACAAUCAUCCUGAAUUUUGACCUCAGAUCUGUAAGGAAUAUUCGUAUCAUUUCUUAAUACUUGUGAGUAUCUCUAGUUCUUCAGAACAAAAGUUAAAAGGAGAAAUUUUUAUCCAAUUUGGCUUUUCCUUUAUUGUAAUAAAAUUAUCCAAACCCACAGUGUGUUAUUUCUGGAGAAGUACUUGCAAAUAGCAGCCAGAAAGUGCUCAUGUCUCCUCUUUUAGAAACAAAACACGAAAAUUAUAAUAAUAAAGUAAUUGAUUUCUUUAAAAUGCAAAAUUCAUGAAUUCCAAAUAUCAGGUCAUGGAAGCAGUUUGGAGGGUUGUAACACGUAGUUAAAUUUCAAUCUACUUAUUAAUACACAUUUGGUCCCCAAACAGAAUAUUAUGAUGUUAUUUUGAAUUUGUAGAUAAACUAUACUCUUUCUUGCAUGUUUAAUUUAAAAUAAAGUAAGCAGCAUGCAUCACUUGUUAAAUGGAGGAAAAGUCAAACUUUGUCCUUGUAUAUUAUGAAUAUUACUAAGGAACAUAUUAAAAUGGAAAUUAUAAGGCGAUCUUUAGUAGUAUACUGAUCUAAGUUCAUUUUUUAAAGCUUAAAGUUGCUUUCUCUUAUACACCACACUGAAAUAGCACAGUGAUUUGGCAUCUCUGAGGAGGUGAUGAGAUUACAGGUUUCUGCGAAUGCGGUUUAUGAGGGUGGAAAGCAGAAGAGUGAGGGUGACUGCCGUGAAGAGGGUAGGGUAGGUUGGUGUGUGUCUUGUGUGACUUUUUCUUGAGGCAUGGCUUCUGUGCUAUACUGUUUCUAGUCAAGUAAUGGAAAUCCAGUUCCAGCCAGUUUAAACAAAAAGAGGGAUUUAUUGGCUCAGGAAACCAGCACAUCGGGAGGUAGAGCUUGUCUCAGGGACUCUCAGAUGCCAAAUGACAUCAUAAGGGCUCUCUGCCAGCCCUCUCCUCUCAGCUCCGAGUUUCCCUUCAUGUUGGUCUCCUGAUUGCCUAGAUAGUCUUCCAUGUACUGGGGGGAGAAGGCAAAGGUCAUAUCAUCCCAGCUUAGGUGACCUCAGAGACGAGAGCUCCUCUCCUCUACUGUCCAUAGAUGGAUGGACAAACAUUAUAGGAGGGAAGCAAGACAGGAGAGAAGAAAGAGACAAAACUCCAGGGAAGAAUCCCAUUGGGCUCUACUUGGCUCACGCUCCCUCCUCCAGGGGCUGGGGAGACGGGGUGUCAUGAUUGGCCAGGCUGUGGUGACAUGCCACCCUUGUCAUGAGGUGAGGACAGAGGACCACACAGGUAGGAGAAAGGCAUUUCCACAGGACAGCGGGGCUUCUGUUCCCAGAAGAAAGAGGGCCGAGGUGCCGAACAAAGACAAGCUACAGACAACGGCCCUGGUCUGUGUGUGUGUGUGUGUGUGUGUGUGUGUGUGUGUGUGUGUGUGUAACCCAGAAGUCUUCAGGGUGUCCAGGUAGCCUGGAAAAGAGCGCACGCUCCCAUCUGAAGAGUGGCUGCUUCUGGUUGGGGGCAGUCAAUGGAGACACUGGCAGGAGAUUGGAGGCAGGAUGAGAGCCUGGGGUCUUUCUUCCCCCAGCACCUCCCUGCCCGGCAGAGUGGGGCAGCAGCUGUGCUCCCACCAGGCAGCCCUCUCCUGGAGUUACAGCGUCUACCAGUUUCAGAGGCUGCUCCCUUCUGGCCUAGGUGUGAGACUGCUCCCUCCGUGACUUGCCCCAGGGUGUUUCACCAACCCCUGUGGGUUUCCUCUAACCCCACCCUCAUUCUGCCUCUUUAUUAGGCGCUCCGCAGUUCCACUUUCUAAGCCUGCCAUCUUGCACCGGCAGGACCUGCUGGGUAUGCUGCCCAUCCUCCCCACCAUCACAGUUCCAGUCCUCCUGGAUCCCAUCUGCUAAAUAUUUCCCAGGGAGCCCUGCUUCUGUACCCACAGAGCCCAUCCUGGUCAGGGCUGUCGCCUUGGCCAGCCUGUGUCUGCAUAGGUUCACGGGCAGGGAGACUUUUGCUCUCUAGAACUUCGGUCCUAGCAAUGGAUGGAAACCAUUGCUCCUAGCAAUGGACAAACUCAUAAUGUUUAACAGACAUUUACUGAAGGUGUAGGAAUAACACAAAGAAAUAACAAGGUAGAAGGGAAGACAAAACAGUCUGAAAGCUCUGUGUCCUGAGUCUCCUCAGAGAGCUAUGUGUGCCCUCAGGAACCUCUCUCUGGUUCCGGGGGCCCCAAACAAAUUCCCUUUUAUAGGCCAUUUUGCACCUGGCAAGAGACUUUGUACUAACCCCUGGGACUGUGCUGGAGGUCACUUCCGUGGGCCUGAUCAGCAGAAAUAAGUUCUUUGAGGUGCCGAUGGAGCUGGUGUAUUGGCAGGAACUGAUAGCUCAGGUGUUCAGGAGUCGAAUUGACUUUAAGAGCGGUGUUGACCAAACUGCUGCUGUCAUUUGCUGGCUAAAGGCAAAAAGAAUCUGAAUAAAAAUGUUAGCUGUGUUAUAAGAAAAUGCAUUUAAGGGAGUUGCCAUUGUGGCUCAGUGGUAACAAACCCCACUAGUAUCCAUGAAGAUGUGGGUUCGAUCCCUGGUCUCGCUCAGUAGGUCAAGGAUCUGGUGUUGUCAUGAGCUGUGGUGUAGGCUGCAGAUGUGGCUUGGAUCCUGUGCUGCUGUGGCUGUAGUGUAGGCCAGCAACUGUAGCUCUUAAGUGACCCCUAGCUGGGAAAUUCUGUAUGCUGAGGAUGAGGCCCUAAAAAGAAAAAAAAAUGCAUUUAAAGUAUGAAAAAUUGGAGUUCCUAUCAUGGCUCAGUGGUUAACAAAUCUGACUAGGAACCAUGAGGUUGCGGGUUUGAUCCCUGGCCUUGCUCAGUGGGUUAAGGAUCCGACGUUGCCAUCAGCUGUGGUGUAGGUUGCAGAUGCAGCUCGGAUCCCACGUUGCUGUGGCUGUGGUGUAGACCGGUGGCUACAGCUCCGAUGAGACCCCUAGCCUGGGAAUCUCUAUAUGCUGCAGGAGCGGCCCU
rnacentral:lncRNA from 1 species